rnacentral:rRNA from 1 species
AUUGAACGCUGGCGGCAGGCCUAACACAUGCAAGUCGAACGAGUGGCGGACGGGUGAGUAAUGCCUGGGAAACUGCCUGAUGGAGGGGGAUAACUACUGGAAACGGUAGCUAAUACCGCAUACCAUCAGAUGUGCCCAGAUGGGAUUAGCUAGUUGGUGGGGUAACGGCUCACCAAGGCGACGAUCCCUAGCUGGUCUGAGAGGAUGACCAUCCACACUGGAACUGAGACACUGUCCAGACUCCUACGGGAGGCAGCAGUGGUGAAGAUUGCACAAUGGGCGCAAGCCUGAUGCAGCCAGGCCGCGUGUAUGAAGAAGGCCUUCGGGUUGUAAAGUAAGUUCAGUGGGGAGGCGUUACCCGCAGAAGGAGCACCGGCUAACUCAGUGCCAGCAGCCGCGGUAAUAC